UUACUAUGAUGACUUAUUUCAGUUCUGCUUCUGAAUUUGUUUGAAGAAAGCUAUACCCACAAUUCUGAUGU